AUUGAACGCUGGCGGAAUGCUUUACACAUGCAAGUCGAACGGCAGCACGGACUUCGGUCUGGUGGCGAGUGGCGAACGGGUGAGUAAUGUAUCGGAACGUGCCCAGUCGUGGGGGAUAACGUAGUGAAAAUUACGCUAAUACCGCAUACGAUCUAUGGAUGAAAGCGGGGGAUCGCAAGACCUCGCGCGAUGUGAGCGGCCGAUAUCAGAUUAGGUAGUUGGUGGGGUAAAGGCCCACCAAGCCAACGAUCUGUAGCUGGUCUGAGAGGACGACCAGCCACACUGGAACUGAGACACGGUCAAGACUCCUACGGGAGGCAGCAGUGGGGAAUUUUGGACAAUGGGCGAAAGCCUGAUCCAGCCAUUCCGCGUGCAGGAUGAAGGCCCUCGGGUUGUAAACUGCUUUUGUACAGAACGAAAAGGUUUCUACUAAUACUAGGAGCUCAUGACGGUACUGUAAGAAUAAGCACCGGCUAACUACGUGCCAGCAGCCGCGGUAA
rnacentral:rRNA from 1 species